rnacentral:rRNA from 1 species
CCGGGUGAGUAAUACAUCGGAACGUGUCUUCUAGUGGGGGAUAACUGCCCAAAGGGCAGCUAAUACCGCAUGAGACCUGAGGGUGAAAGCGGGGGAUCGCAAGACCUCGCGCUGGUAGAGCGGCCGAUGUCCGAUUAGCUAGUUGGUGAGGUAAAGGCUCACCAAGGCGACGAUCGGUAGCUGGUCUGAGAGGACGACCAGCCACACUGGGACUGAGACACGGCCCAG